GACGAACGCUGGCGGCGUGCCUAAUACAUGCAAGUAGAACGCACAGUUUAUACCGUAGCUUGCCACACCAUAGACUGUGAGUUGCGAACGGGUGAGUAACGCGUAGGUAACCUGCCUGGUAGCGGGGGAUAACUAUUGGAAACGAUAGCUAAUACCGCAUAAUAUUAAUUAUUGCAUGAUAAUUGAUUGAAAGAUGCAACUGCAUCACUACCAGAUGGACCUGCGUUGUAUUAGCUAGUAGGUGAGGUAACGGCUCACCUAGGCGACGAUACAUAGCCGACCUGAGAGGGUGAUCGGCCACACUGGGACUGAGACACGGCCCAGACUCCUACGGGAGGCAGCAGUAGGGAAUCUUCGGCAAUGGACGAAAGUCUGACCGAGCAACGCCGCGUGAGUGAAGAAGGUUUUCGGAUCGUAAAGCUCUGUUGUAAGAGAAGAACGGGUGUGAGAGUGGAAAGUUCACACUGUGACGGUAUCUUACCAGAAAGGGACGGCUAACUACGUG
rnacentral:rRNA from 1 species